GGCCACCACAUUGCAUGAUCCGAG
rnacentral:siRNA from 1 species